CUGUCCCUUCUGCCACUGUGAAGUGGCUCUCGGGAGUGAACAAGUCUGCCAAACGUGGAUGGAAGGUUGCUGUUUCAGCAGGGACUGCAAGUUCAGGCACAUGAGAAUUGAUGUGUUUGCCUAAAGAUGUGCUCUCCAACUUAGUCCACAAAACCACUUUUCAUUGCUAUAGAAGAAGCACAGUGAGAUUCCCUGCUUUUGGGAGAAUCAGCCAGGAGGCUGUCAGAAAGCCCACUGCACUUUUCUUCACCUGAAGGAACGCAGUGGGAACGGACCGACUGUACCACCAAGCAACGAAGCUGAUGUAAGUGGCCUCCCUGUGAACAGUCUUGCAGCCUUGCAGAAAGUCUGGGGAACCAGACAGAGGUUCAGAAGGCACCAGAGAGAGGUACAGGUACUGAACAGGCACCUGGGUUUGAUACACUGUCUUUCUACUUAGAUUUCCUGAUUGCUCUUUCCUGGGACUGUUCUCUGCAGUUGACAUUCCAACUUCCUCCCAUGGCCUGGCUGGACAAAAACGCAAGAGAUCUGAGGAGAGGAAGGGAAAAGCAAAGAAACUGCCUUGCAAGACAAGACUUAAAGGUGGACACAAGGUAUCUGUGAGGCCUAUGGACUGGAAAACCACCUUUCCCAAGAUACAGAGAUGGAAGCGAAAGGCAGCAGAGAUGUAUCUGUCUGUUGCUGAGGACGUGGAUGAGCCCCCAGCCAGAAAACCACCUAUGUUUGGAACUGCUUCCAGGAAGCCAAGAAGACUCUGUGGCACAGUCUGAGGACUUAAAACUCAACAUCCCAUUCCUCACAAGAAGCAGAUGAGCUUUCAGUCUGCAGAAGGCACUUCGGUCUGCUGAGGUCUCUGCUGUGCCUGCUGCCACUAGCCACAGUAAUGGAGCAGAGCAAACUGCAUCAGCACACAGGAUGGGAUGCAGUAGCAGCAAGAAGUUCCAGGGGAGCAUAAGCUGCAGACCUACGUGUGGAUGGCCAAAUGCUUGUGCAUUCCCGUGGGAUAAAGCAAGUGAAGUUCCAUCUGCACCAGCCUCUUUUCUUACCUCUCCUUCACACAGAUGGCUUUCACAAUGCAUCAGUGUUGAAACAAUUUAAGGGCCUGGCAAGA